rnacentral:RNase_P_RNA from 1 species
UUGGGAGGGCGGAGGAUCGCCCCGCCCUUUCUAAAAUUGAAACCGGUCGCGACUUUCAAGGGCUUCCGUCCGGUUCCAGCGGAGUUCAACCGGCAGUUUUAGAAAGGGCGGGGAGGAAAGUCCGAACACCAGAGGGCGCGAUGCCGCGUAACCCCGCCCUUUUUAAAGCCUUGGGCAUCUCCGUCGGCGGAACCUAUGCAGUUCCGAGGGAGGAUGUUUGGCCCAGGGUUUUAGAAAGGGCGGGGAUACACGCGGGCGGCGACGUCGUGAGGCGUCCCGACGGACAGUGCCACAGAAAACAGACAGCCCGGCCCUUCUUGAAGUUGUUGAACGAAAAGUCGCCGGUCGGAGAAAUGCCCGGCACAGUCUUGACGAUUCGACAGUUUCAAGAAGGGCUGGGUGAUGGUGAAAAGGUGCGGUAAGAGCGCACCGCGCGAAGCGCGAGCGACGCGGCACGGAAAACCCCAUCGGGUGCAAGGCCAAAUAGGGAAUCCCGGAGCGGCCCGCUCCUGUCCCGCGAAAGCGGGCGGAUUCCGGGUAUCGGCUGCUGAGACAAAUGAUUCUCUCCCCGGCCCUUCUUUAAGUUGCCGGACGCUGAAAGUCCGCGAGCGCAGGCCAGGCUCGAGGAUUCCAACGGCUUGGCGAUUUCAAGAAGGGCUGGGCAGACAGAAUUCGGCUUACAGCCCUCCCAAGGCC